AUUGAACGCUGGCGGUAGGCUUAACACAUGCAAGUCGAGCGGAGAUGAGGUGCUUGCACCUUAUCUUAGCGGCGGACGGGUGAGUAAUGCUUAGGAAUCUGCCUAUUAGUGGGGGACAACAUUCCGAAAGGAAUGCUAAUACCGCAUACGCCCUACGGGGGAAAGCAGGGGAUCUUCGGACCUUGCGCUGAUAGAUGAGCCUAAGUCGGAUUAGCUAGUUGGUGGGGUAAAGGCCUACCAAGGCGACGAUCUGUAGCGGGUCUGAGAGGAUGAUCCGCCACACUGGGACUGAAACACGGCCCAGACUCCUACGGGAGGCAGCAGUGGGGAAUAUUGGACAAUGGGCGGAAGCCUGAUCCAGCCAUGCCGCGUGUGUGAAGAAGGCCUUAUGGUUGUAAAGCACUUUAAGCGAGGAGGAGGCUACCUAGAUUAAUACUCUAGGAUAGUGGACGUUACUCGCAGAAUAAGCACCGGCUAACUCUGUGCCAGCCGCCGCCGUAAUAC
rnacentral:rRNA from 1 species